ACUUUGUGGUUCAUGACUGGGGUGAAGUCGUAACAAGGUAGCCCUAGGGGAACCUGGGGCUGGAUCACCUCCUUACCU
rnacentral:rRNA from 2 species